UGGCCGCAAAAACACCGCCAAGCCUGGCCAGGACAAGAGAGGAGGUUACAAAGGCGGUUUGGCCUCUUUUUUUUGGUUUGGCCUUUAAAUACAAACAAUAAAGAAACGUUAGGCCUCUGUAUCUCUGUUUUCCUUCUCCUUUGUGCUCCUCUCCUUGGCCUAGUAGUAAACAUGAGUUUUCUUCUCCUCCCUCAUAGAGACUAAAACCUAGAAGAACAAGAGGAUUGAAUUUUUGAUUGGAUGUGAUGGGCCAGCGCAUGUCGAUGGCGAGGAGGAGGAGAGGUCGCAAGGGGUGGAAGAACGGCGCAGCAUCAGAGAAGAUCGGUUGUCUCGCAUUGGCGAAGGAGCAGAGGUCCAGAUUUUAUAUUAUUAGGAGAUGUGUGGUGAUGCUCCUCUGCUGGCACAAGUAUGGAAAGUAUUGAAACUUUGCAAGGUUAUGGUCAGGAGCUCUGUUUGUUAUAUUUCUUUUGAUGCUUUUGUUGUUAUAUCUUUGUGAUUGUGUUGUAACAAAAUUCACAUAGGUAGGGAAAUAAGGGCUUGGUUUAGAUUAUAUGAUGAGACUUGGGUUGAAGAAUUUGGAAUAUAUGAUGGCAUGGGAAUGUCUCUUUCUGUUUUCUAAGCAAGUUUGGUAGGUUUAUGUUUUUGUUUCGGAGAUUGUUUCAGUUUUCUUAUUUCUUUGGCUCAUAUUUCUCCUUAUUCGGCUAUUGUUCCUUUGACUAAUAGUUCUGGUUGUUGCACAACUUAUCUAUAGUUUAUUGUGUUACUUCAAGGUAACUGGGUUUCAUUUGUGUUACACCCU
rnacentral:lncRNA from 1 species